rnacentral:misc_RNA from 1 species
GAUGAAGAACGCAGCGAAAUGCGAUAAGUAAUGUGAAUUGCAGAAUUCAGUGAAUCAUCGAAUCUUUGAACGCACCUUGCGCCCUUUGGCCAUUCCGAAGGGCAUGCCUGUUUGAGUAUCAUGAACACCUCAACUCUUUAUGGUUUUCCAUGAUGAGCUUGGACUCUGGGGGUUUUGCUGGCUCACAGUCGGCUCCUCUAAAAUGAAUCAGCUUACCAGUGUUUGGUGGGUAUCAUGGGUGUGAUAACUAUCUACGCUUGUGGUUUUUCCACCAGGUAACCUUCAGCAGUGGAGGUUCGCUGGAGCUCAUAGAUGUCUCUCCUCAGUGAGGACAGCCCUUUGAAUGUUUGAUCUCAAAUCAGGUAGGACUACCCGCUGAACUUAAGCAUAUCAAAAGCGGAGGA